rnacentral:rRNA from 1 species
UACAGAGGGGGCAAGCGUUGUCCGGAUUUACUGGGCGUAAAGAGCGCGCAGGCGGUCGGAUCAGUCGAAUGUGAAAGCCCCGGCUCAACCUGGGAGGGUCAUUCGAUACUGUCCGACUCGAAGGCAGGAGAGGGAAGCGGAAUUCCCGGUGUAGUGGUGAAAUGCGUAGAUAUCGGGAGGAACACCAGUGGCGAAGGCGGCUUAGCUUCG